UAAAAUAUAGCAUCAAAUAGAUACAAAUCAUCUUGGAUUCUAAACUUAAGUCAGACCGCGGACUAAGGGACAGUCUGAGUUGACAGUUUCUAUGGAGUGUAAGCCUCCCAAAAGAUAAUGGAGGCGCGCAAAGGUUUUCUUGGGCCAUACGGACAUUGGUCCUCGAGUGCAAAGACAUAAGAGAGCUUAACUGCAUGACUUACCCGUUGAUGAUGAGCAACACCAAGUCUUUACAAAAAAACCAUAUUAACAACAAUA
rnacentral:ncRNA from 1 species